UACGUAGGGCGCAAGCGUUGUCCGGAAUUAUUGGGCGUAAAGAGCUCGUAGGCGGCCUGUUACGUCUGCUGUGAAAUCCCGGGGCUUAACCCCGGGCGUGCAGUGGAUACGGGCAGGCUGGAGGCAGGCAGGGGAGGAACGGAAUUCCCGGUGGUAGCGGUGGAAAUGCGCAGAUAUCGGGAGGAACGACCGGUGGCGAAGGCGGUUCUCUGGGCCUGUACUGACGCUGAGGAGCGAAAGCGUGGGGGAGCGAACAGG
rnacentral:rRNA from 1 species